rnacentral:rRNA from 1 species
GACGAACGCUGGCGGCGUGCUUAACACAUGCAAGUCGAACGGUAAGGCCCUUCGGGGUACACGAGUGGCGAACGGGUGAGUAACACGUGGGUGAUCUGCCCUGCACUUCGGGAUAAGCCUGGGAAACUGGGUCUAAUACCGGAUAGGACCCUGGGAUGCAUGUCCUGGGGUGGAAAGCUUUUGCGGUGUGGGAUGGGCCCGCGGCCUAUCAGCUUGUUGGUGGGGUGAUGGCCUACCAAGGCGACGACGGGGAGCCGGCCUGAGAGGGUGACCGGACACACUGGGACUGAGAUACGGCCAAGACUCCUACGGGAGGCAGCAGUGGGGAAUAUUGCAAAAUGGGCGCAAGCCUGAUGCAGCGACGCCGCGUGAGGGAGGACGGCCUUCGGGUUGUAAACCUCUUUCAGCACCGACGAAGCGCAAGUGACGGUAGGUGCAGAAGAAGGACCGGCCAACUACGUGCCAGCCGCCGCCGUAA